UAUCAAUUUCAGGAUGCCAUCUUCUUCUGAUCAUUUCCUACUUUCUGGAAAACUGCCCUGCUUAAAAUAAGCAAAAUGAUGGACACCAGAUACUUUUCUCCAUUCAGUAAGAGGACAAGCAGCGGAGAAGCUGAUGAGAGAAGAUUCAAGUGGGGUCCUUCUCCCCUCUCUUUCCAACUUACUUCGCAAACUCUGAACCCUGUUUGCUGACUGUGAUCAUCCAGGGACGUCUCUGCUGCAGACAGAAACUUCUUCUUAAAAGAAUUCAACCCAGCACUACCGUCUCCAAGAGAACAGCCAAAUCAGCCGUCUCCAUCUCUAAGUCAGGAGCAUUUGGACCAUAGAAGGAAAGUUGCUUGGCCACUGAUUUCAGCCUGAAGCCCACCGAGUCACCAGACUAUAUAUUCCUUUUAUUUCUCUGGACCCUACAGAGCGAGGAAAGAUAAAUUUCGCAACUCAAUCUAUUGGUGUGCAUGUGAAAGUAUUUUAUUAAUUUACUUAUGGGUUUAAGUUUUUUAAAUUUAUUCCUUCACGGGAUGUGGGCUUUUUUGGCUGGGCCAACAU